UAGCAGCAAAUUCCAAAAGAUGGAACCGC
rnacentral:sRNA from 1 species